UUCGCCUUCAUGAAGCCGGAAUUGCUAGUAAUGGCAGGUCAGCAUACUGCCGUGAAUGCGUUCCCGGGCCUUGUACACACCGCCCGUCACACCAUGAGAGUUGGGAAUACCCGAAGCCUGUGAGCUAACAUUAAGAGGCAGCACGUCGAAGGUAGAAUCAAUGACGUUGGGGUGAAGUCGUAACAAGGUAUC
rnacentral:rRNA from 1 species